UACCAGCACCCCGAGUGGUCGGGACGAUUAUUGGGCCUAAAGCAUCCGUAGCCGGUCCUACAAGUCUUCCGUUAAAUCCAGCUGCUCAACAGAUGGGCUGCGGAAGAUACUAUAGGGCUAGGAGGCGGGAGAGGCAAGCGGUACUCAGUGGGUAGGGGUAAAAUCCUCUGAUCCAUUGAAGACCACCAGUGGCGAAGGCGGCUUGCCAGAACGCGCUCGACGGUGAGGGAUGAAGGCUGGGGGAGCAAACCGG
rnacentral:rRNA from 1 species